rnacentral:rRNA from 1 species
AUAAGCCAGCUUGACUGCGAGCGUGACGGCGCGAGCAGGUGCGAAAGCAGGUCAUAGAGAUCCGGUGGUUCUGAAUGGAAGGGCCAUCGCUCAACGGAUAAAAGGUACUCCGGGGAUAACAGGCUGAUACCGCCCAAGAGUUCAUAUCGACGGCGGUGUUUGGCACCUCGAUGUCGGCUCAUCACAUCCUGGGGCUGAAGUAGGUCCCAAGGGUAUGGCUGUUCGCCAUUUAAAGUGGUACGCGAGCGGGGUUUAGAACGUCGUGAGACAGUUCGGUCCCUAUCUGCCGUGGGCGCUGGAGAACUGAGGGGGGCUGCUCCUAGUACGAGA